rnacentral:misc_RNA from 1 species
UUUUUUUUUUUUUUUUUUACCGAAAGAAAAAAAAAAUCUAAGUAAGAAACCCUAAUUCCAGGUUGGCCGCCGGCAAAAAUCAAUACCAUAAAGAGGGGGGAAAAAAAAAGAAAGAUCGCUGCCUAUCAUUAUCAAAGCAAAAAUUGAAUAUUAACAAAUCGUUUUUCCCAAGCAAAACCACCGCGUAAUCAUCAACGAGAAUAACAGAAAUCACACAGAAAAUAUUUUGUCGAUUUCAUUGAUCAGUAAAAGUAAAUUAAUUAAUCAAACAAUUAAAAAGACGAAAAAGCAAAAGGGUAUACAUUUUUUUAGAGUUUCAAUCUCGG